rnacentral:tRNA from 2 species
UGCCGACUAGCUCAAUUGGCAGAGCGUCUGACUCUGGAUCAGAAGGUUCUAGGUUCGAGCCCUAGGUCGGCAGCCA